CCAAAUAUAUUUGUACUUAUAUCACUAUGAUAGAAAUAUUUUGAAUGUUAUUGAUGUUUUACUAGGGCUCUUUGAUGUUUCUAGUUGAUGUUUUUCUAUUCCAAUUAUGAAAACCUUGUAACAGAGAGAACAUGUAUAUGCAUUUUAUCAAUCAAUAUUUGUCUAUUUACAUACACAACAUGAAUAUGAUGUUUACAUAGUUAUCAAAACCUNGGUCUUUAUCUAAUUUAAUGCAAGACCCAUUUUUCUACUGCUAUUGAACUAAGAGUGGAGAAAUGUGUCCCCUGCGUAUAAUAACGUGUUUUUAUUUAUUUAAGCUCCUAGGUUAGCUACGUCACGUGAAAAUACCUUCAUAUCAUUCACCUACCGCGUUAUAUCAUCAUCUGGUUCUUCAGGACGACAUUCAAAUAUGUUGAUGAGUUAGCUCCAACCCAUCCUACAUUUUUGNCAUUGAAGAGUGUGGAUCUUUCCCCAACAAGUUGGAUGGUUGUUUCUUGGUACNCAAUUUAUAUUGUCCCAAGCCGAAACAAUGAAAAGGAAUUGGAAGCAUGCUUCCUUACUUACCAUACUCUGCCAUCAUCUUUCGAAGGGGUGGCCUAAACAAGUUGCUUCAUACCCUGCCAUCAAAUGCUUCUGAGUAUAUUUUACAAGCUCUGAAACCAAGGUAAUCAAGUGCAUUUUACAAGCUCUGAAACCAAGGUAAUCAAGUGCAUUUUACAAGCUCUGAUAAGUACUUGAUUGGAUUCUCUUGCAUGUUACGUGUACUUCAUUUGAUUUUGUAUUCAUAUCACAUC